GCAUAAUCACUUGUUUCCUAAAUAGAGACUAGUAUCAACGGCAUCACGAGGGUUAAACUGUCUCCCACCCCCCAUCAGUGAAACUGAUCUCCCCGUGAAGAAGCGGGGAUACAGCUAUAAGACGAGAAGACCCUAUGGAGCUUCAGGCAAUGCAGGCACCAUUACAAAACAAAACCACACAUAUACUAAAUCUGCCUGCCAGCCUUAGGUUGGGGCGACCGCGGAGUAAAAUAAAACCUCCACAACAAACAGGACUACACCUUAAUCCAAGAGCCACCACUCCAAGAAUAGAUAAAUCAAUGUAAUAUGACCCGAUAAUCGAUCAAUGAACCAAGUUACCCUAGGGAUAACAGCGCAAUCCAUUUCUAGAGCCCAUAUCAACAAAUGGGUUUACGACCUCGAUGUUGGAUCAGGGUAUCCCAGUGGUGCAGCCGCUACUAAAGGUUCGUUUGUUCAACGAUUAAAACCCUACGUGAUCUGAUUU
rnacentral:rRNA from 1 species